GGGAAUGUGGCUUAGUGGUAGAGUAUUUGCCUUGCAUGUAUGAAGCCCUGGGUUCCAGUCCUCAGUUCCA
rnacentral:tRNA from 1 species